AUGGCUCCGGGCCCUGGUCCUCAUCUCACUUGAAGACCGGCUGCCCAGGGGGCGCGCAAUGCCGUCAGGAAACAACCAGUCGCCACCUCCGCCUCCCCUGCCUGCGGCCUCGGAGGAGGAGGAUGACGAUGGCGAGGCGGAGGACUGCGUCCCGGCCGCCCGAUCGCCGGCCCUUCAGACGCAGCAGCGGUUCCAGGAAUUGUGCAGCCGCCUCAACAUGGACGAGGCGGCGCGGGCCGAGGCCUGGGAGAGCUACCGGAGCAUGAGCGAGAGCUACACGCUGGAGGGAAAUGAUCUUCAUUGGUUAGCAUGUGCCUUAUAUGUGGCUUGCAGAAAAUGUAUUCCAACUGUAAGCAAAGGAACAGUCGAAGGAAACUAUGUAUCUUUAACUCGAAUUCUGCGAUGUUCCGAGCAGAGCUUAAUUGAGUUUUUUAACAAAAUGAAGAAGUGGGAAGACAUGGCAAAUCUACCCUCACAUUUCCGAGAACGGACUGAGAGACUGGAAAGAAACUUCACUGUCUCUGCAGUCAUUUUUAAGAAAUAUGAACCCAUUUUUCAGGACAUUUUUAAAUAUCCUCAGGAAGAGCAACCUCGUCAACAAAGAGGAAGAAAACAGAGGCGACAGCCUUGUACUGUGUCAGAAGUUUUCCAGUUUUGUUGGAUGCUUUUUAUAUAUGCAAAAGGUAAUUUCCCCAUGAUUAGUGAUGAUUUGGUCAAUUCUUACCAUCUCCUUCUGUGCGCCUUGGACCUAGUUUAUGGAAAUGCCCUUCAGUGUUCUAAUCGUAAGGAACUUGUAAACCCUAAUUUUAAAGGCUUCUCUGAAGACUUUUCUGGUAAGGAUUCCAAACCUUCCUCAGAUCCACCUUGUGUCAUUGAGAAGCUGUGUUCUUUACAUGACGGCCUUGUUUUGGAAGCAAAGGGGAUAAAGGAACAUUUCUGGAAACCCUAUAUUAGGAAACUUUAUGAAAGAAAGCUCCUUAAGGGGAGAGAAGAAAAUCUUACUGGGUUUCUGGAACCUGGGAACUUUGGAGAAAGCUUUAAAGCCAUCAAUAAAGCCUAUGAAGAGUAUGUUUUAUCUGUUGGAAAUUUAGAUGAACGGAUAUUUCUUGGUGAUGAUGCUGAGGAGGAAAUUGGGACUCUCUCAAGGUGUCUGAACGCUGGCUCCGGAACGGAGAGUGCUGAGAGGGUCCAGGUGAAGAACAUCUUACAGCAGCACUUUGACAAGUCUAAAACACUUAGGAUCUCCACACCACUUACUGGGAUAAGAUACGUCAAGGAGAACAGCCCUUGUGUGACUUCAGUUUCCACAGCUACGCAUAGCUUGAGUCGUCUUCACACCAUGCUAGCAGGUCUCAGAAAUGCACCAAGUGAGAAACUGGAACAGAUUCUAAGGUCAUGUUCCAGAGAUCCAACUCAGGCUAUUGCUAAUAGAUUAAAAGAAAUGUAUGAAAUAUAUUGUCAGCAUUCCCAGCCAGAUGAAGAGACCAGUAAUUGUGCAAAAGAAAUUGCCAGCAAAUACUUUCGUUUUGCAGAGAUACUUUACUAUAAAGUAUUAGAAACAGUUAUUGAGCAGGAACAGAAAAGACUGGGAGACAUGGAUUUAUCUGGCAUUCUGGAACAGGAUGCAUUCCAUAAAUCGCUUGUGGCCUGCUGCCUUGAGGUCAUCACUUUUUCUUACAAGCCUCCAGGGAAUUUUCCAUUUAUCGCUGAAAUAUUUGAUGUGCCACUUUACCAUUUUUAUAAGGUCAUAGAAGUUUUCAUUAGAGCAGAAGAUGGCCUUUGUAGAGAGGUAGUAAAGCAUCUUAAUCAAAUUGAAGAACAGAUUUUAGACCAUUUGGCAUGGAAAUCAGAGUCCCCACUGUGGGACAGAAUUAGAGACAAUGAAAAUAGAGUUCCUACAUGUGAAGAGGUUAUGCCACCUCAGAACCUGGAAAGAGCAGAAGAUGUUUGUCUUGGUAACUCCCCUCUGACUCCCAGAAGGGUGAGUGAAAUCCGUGCUGAUUCUGGAGGGAUUGGAAGAAACAUAACAUCCCCAGCCACCUUAUAUGACAGGUAUAAUUCCCCAACAGCCAGCACUACCAGAAGGAGGCUAUUUGUUGACAGUGAUAACCCCUCUGAGGGAGGGACCCCUGGCCGGAUUCCCCCACAGCCUGUGGUCAACGCUGUCCCAGUGCAGAAUGUGUCUGGGGAGGCUGUUUCUGUCACACCAGUUCCUGGACAGACAUUGGUCACCAUGGCCACAGCCACUGUCACAGCCAACAACGGACAAACAGUGACCAUUCCUGUACAAGGUAUUGCCAAUGAAAAUGGAGGGAUAACAUUCUUCCCCGUCCAAGUGAAUGUUGGAGGGCAGGCCCAAGCCGUGACUGGUUCACUUCAGCCCCUCAGCGCUCAGGCCCUGACUGGAAGUCUGAGCUCUCAACAGGUGACAGGAUCAGCUUUGCAGGUUCCAGGUCAGAUGGCCAUUCAACAGAUUUCCCCAGGUGGCCCUCAGCAGAAACCAGGACGACCUUUAAGCGGCAGCAGUGUUAGACCCAGGAAGACCAGUUCUUUAUCACUUUUCUUUAGAAAGGUAUACCACUUAGCCGCCGUCCGCCUGCGGGAUCUUUGCACUAAGCUAGAUAUUUCAGAUGAACUGAGGAAAAAAAUCUGGACCUGCUUUGAAUUCUCCAUAGUUCAGUGUCCUGAACUUAUGAUGGACAGACAUCUGGACCAGCUGUUAAUGUGUGCCAUUUAUGUGAUGGCAAAGGUCACAAAAGAAGACCAGUCUUUCCAGAAUAUUAUGCGAUGUUAUAGGACUCAGCCACAGGCCCGGAGCCAGGUAUACAGAAGUGUUCUGAUAAAAGGAAAGAGACGACGAUAUUCAGGGAGCAGUGAUAGCAGAAGCCAUCAAAAUUCUCCGACAGAAUUAAACAAAGAGAGAAACAGCAGAGACUCCAGUCCUGUCAUGAGGUCAAACAGCACCCUGCCAGUCCCACAGCCUAGCAGUGCCCCUCCCACCCCCACGCGGCUCCCAGGCACCAACAGUGACGUGGAAGAGGAAGAGAGAGGAGACCUCAUUCAGUUUUAUAACAACAUCUACAUAAAACAAAUGAGAACAUUUGCUAUUAAAUACUCACAGGCAAACACAGUAAGUCUAUGGAUGCUCCCCCACUUUCACCUUAUCCAUUUAUAAGAACAAGUUCUCCCCGCCGAGUCCAGCUGUCUCCAAACCAUUCUAUCUACAUUUCUCCAAUCAAAAGUGAAACAAUGCUUACUCCUCAAGAAAAGCUCUUCUAUUGCUUCAGCAACAGUCCUUCAAAGAGACUGAGAGAAAUUAACAGUAUGAUACGGACAGGUGAAACUCCCACCAAAAAGAGAGGGUUUCUUUUGGAAGAUGGAAGUGAAUCACCUGCAAAAAGAAUUUGCCCAGAAAAUCACUCUGCUUUAUUACGUCGUCUCCAAGAUGUAGCUAAUGACCGAGGUUCCCACUGA